rnacentral:lncRNA from 1 species
AUAUGCUGGUAAAAUAACAUCUAUCCUAGAUGCUUCCAAACUCAGUGACAUUCUCUCUGCAUAGAUAUUGUCUGGUCUCUCCUUCUUCUAAAGCAGCUUGGCACCACUAUGGGGAAGUGUCCACAUUCAUACCUUCAGACCUGUGUGUGUUCUCAAAGAGAUCAGCAAAGAGAAUUCAUCAUUUCCAUCUUGAAAGAGAGAAAUCCAGGAAGCAUCAAUCUGCUUUGACAGUGGAGUAAAGAGCUGCAACAGGAGUAACCUGUCAAGGGUUGGACAGAAAGAAGAUUUCUUUCCCAGCCCUAUAGAGGAGCAGACAAUGGGAAAGGCUUCCAUGGAAUUAGAAACUAAGACUGCAAGUAGAAGAGAUGAGUCCAUCUCAAAGAUGAAACCCAGUUGGGAGAGCAUUUGGGAAAAAUGUAGUAUGUUGUGGGGUUAUUGGGUGUCUGUAUCUCCUAUAUGGGACAAGGAGCAUUAUCCAAGAACAUCAGUCCAAACUUAAUCACUCUAUAAUUAAAAAACAAACUAAUAAAAUAGACAAGCAAAGAUGCCA